CUGUCUUAGAUACUCUUCUGCCUCUCUCUCCAGACUCUUCUCUAAGCACCCGCAAUCCCACCCUGGUAUCCCACACCCCCUACCCCUGGGCUUACGAUCACGAGAUAAUGACAGUCUCAGAGGGCCCGUCCUUUCUCCGUGACCUGUGAAAAGGCAUCUUGGUUGAGGACAGGGCAGGGGCUGGUCUUCCUGGAGCCCUCCAGCCACACCUUGGCCCUGGUCCCUCCCUGGUACAUGCAAGGCCGGGCUGGGGUAGGGACGACCAAAGGGACACUGGAGAGCUUGUCCUUAUGUCCUGAGAUCCUGGAUCCCUAGAGAGCCUGUGAGCCAAUCCCUGCAUUUUAGCAACAAAGAAACUGAGGGUCAGAGAGGUGAGGGCAGAAGCCCGAGGCCACACCGUCUGCACACUGCUCAGAAUCCCGACACCCAGCCCAGUGCCCUUCCCUCUGGCAGCCGUGCGUCUCCCAGGGCCCCAGCGCCCAGCAAGCCAGUGAGAGCCUCACAUGUGAUUAUAAUUACCGUGGGCUUGGCCUGAGCCCAGCCACACUGCGAGCACAUCCAGGACUGGUCGCGGGCCAAGUUUCCAUCUCAGUAGAAAAAUGACAAGGUUCAAGGGAUACACGUUAAUCCCAAACACAAGAGCAGGAAAGAGUGGGGUGAGGGGGAGAGGCCAGCUAGGAUCUCUCGGGCAACGUCAGUCCACCAAGGACUCCUGAGACCCACCCAGGAGGCAGAAUGCAACCCCCUCCCAGUCCACAGAGAAUAAAAGGCCGUGUGCCCACUAGGGGACCAGGACCACCCUCCUGGUGGGCAUUGUAGUUCAAGAGCCAUCUCGGGAUUGUUUGUGGCGAUAAACCCUGCUGGGUCCCAGGUUCAUGAUGGAACUCAGCUGGCGAGACUCGGCCAGGCACCCCAUAGAUGUCACCCCCCGACCCCCAGUAGGCCCCUUCCUUACACUAAGCAUUCUCCUCAGCCUUUGUGUUUCUAUCUUUCAGCAUCAACAUCUGCUACCACAGAUAAGGAAACCAAGGCACCAGGAUGAAGGAUGGCCCGAGGCCAGGUAGCCAGAGGAGCGGGGAUGGGCUACAACACUGGCCAGUCUGGCCCACGGCCUCCCUCUUGAUGCUCUUGAGCCAUGGGUGCAGCCCGGGCUGUGUUUAGGGCUCUCCUGCUUCCUCCUACCCACCCAUUUUCCGCAUCUGAAAAUUUACGAGCUGUUGGCUUCAUCUGCUCUACAUCCACUGAGUGGCCCUGGUAGGGUCCCAAACUCCACCCUGGCUGCCAACUUCUGCCCCUUAAUAAUGACACUGCACAUCCUUGAGGCUUCUAGACUGUUCUGUCAGCCCUUUCACCCUUGAGACAAAAGUUCCUUCUUUCCUCCCAGACUUGAAGCAAUCAUGAGUAACACAUCGCUCCCAGCUUACCUCAACUCCCAGAACUCCCAUCUGCAAGCUGUGCUCAGUUUUGGCCUCAGAGAGGUCAGGACCUUUGAAUUUUUAACCUAUGAUAUAUGUGCAUCUACCUUUUGGAGGGCUUCUAACAGGUUCAAUGAUAUUAAGAGAACCACGGCUCUCUGCCCUGGGGGCAAAGGAGUUAACACUUUGCUGGAACUCUCCUAACCCCAGGGGAUAUGCUAAAAAACCAAUGGAGGACAGCAGCCAUCAAUUAAAUAUCAACUGACAGGUAGGGAAGAGCUGUGGCCCCAAUGGGAACAAUGGACUUUUUGAUGAUUAAUGUCUCUGAGAGGUAUGAGUCCUCAAAAAAAUGAGGUCUGCCUCAAAGAAAUGUGCUUAUUUACACCGGCUUCUAGACUGGCUGAGGACAGCCCAGGGCCUGCAGCCAGGCAUCCAAGCAAAGGGGCAGGCAAGCUCCAGAGUGCAGCUUCUUGCCGACUAGGGGAUUUAUGGGCUUCCUGGACGGGCCAAGCAGCCUGGUUUUGAGGCCAGCAGCUGGGCCAGGAGGUUGGCUGAGGUUUUCUUAGAGGCUCUGCAAGCAGUCGGGCCCUUGGAGAAAAUGCCUUUGACACAAGGGGGUGUUACCUGAUCUUCCUUCUCCUCCAGGGGCAAAGCCUCAGCAGGGGCAUUUUCCCUGACCGGGCAGGGGCGGGAGCCAUGGGGGUGGGGCAGGGAGCAGAGUGUGCAAAUGAAGCAUUAUUCCCCAAAGACCAUCUCUCUCUUUUUUCUGCUUUCAAAAAGCCCCAAUGAUGACUUUGUGUUUGCGCCAAUCUUGCUUUUUCAAAGAGAUGAAGAAAGAAGAUGUUUUUCCAAGUGUCAUUAUAAAAACCCUAAGGCUGGAAAGAUAUGGAGGAAACCUCUUCCUCCUGGUUCUGCCUCCGCAAGUAUAGGCGAAGUCUAUGCAGCAGCGGGUAGGGGUGCUGGUCUGUGAAUAACUUGCCAGGGGGAUAUUCCAUCCACAGCCCCGAGGCCCCCAGUCUCAAGACACCCCUAUCUGCAGUCUAUUCACAUCCCUAUUGCUGGAGUCAAGGUCCAUUUCUUCCUUUCAGUCCUUGCGGGAACUGGACAAGGGCCAAGAGACUAGAAGAGCUGGUGAUGUGGGUCCUUCUAGAGUCUGAGGGAAGGCAGGUUUGGGGGGGGGAGGUCUCUGUCACCCCAGGGUCCCUGGUUCUUAAAUCUGCACUGUCCCAUGAAAGGACAAGCCCUAGAGCCAGCAGCACUGCUGUCUGAGCAGCAUGGCUGGUGGUCAUCUUGCUAAGCAGAUGGUGUCAGUCUUCUGGUCUUGCGCUGACCAAGAAAAACAGAGUGGGUGUCCCACUCUUGUUUGAAAAUGUGCUUGGUGGGUAGGGGGCAGGAGUUGAGGGGGACAGAAAGCAUCUUAUUCUCUCCCCCAUCUAUCAAAACUAUAAAUCUAUCAAGACUAUAAAUCUCAACUUCCCCAAGGUAAGGUAGAGGCGGGCUGCAGGGGCCCAGGGAGUGGGUGUCCGGCAGGAGAGGCUGGUCUCUGGCAGUCCCUUUAACUCCGACACCAGGCCCUGGGGGACCCCCAUCACCCCACAGCAAAGCUCUCCUCGCUCCCACAGCCACUCCCAGCCCUGGCCACUCAAGAUGACUGGAUUUAGAGAUAAGAAGCAGAUGGGGAGUUCUCGUCGUGGCACAGUGGUUAACGAAUCCGACUAGGAACCAUGAGGUUGCGGGUUUGGUCCCUGCCCUUGCUCAGUGGGUUAACGAUCUGGCGUUGCCGUGAGCUGUGGUGUAGGUUGCAGACGAGGCUCGGAUCCUGCGUUGCUGUGGCUCUGGUGUAGGCCGGUGGCUCCAGCUCCGAUUCGGCCCCUAGCCUGGGAAUCUCCAUAUGCCGCGGGAGCAGCCCAGAGAAAUAGC
rnacentral:lncRNA from 1 species